UAAUAAGUGUUUUAUGGCACUUUUUAAAUCCAUAUCCACCAUGUGUGCAAUGUCAGUCGAUCUUCUUCAUGGAGAUCGACCAAACAUCAACCUUUAUCUUUUAACUCUUUGUCUGAAAAAUAUUAUGAAUAAACAAUUCAAAAUA
rnacentral:misc_RNA from 1 species